AUGGCUUGCCAAGUGUGUGGCUGUUCAGACGUAGAACCCCAUUUUGGAGCACUGUCAUGUAGAGCAUGUGCCGCAUUUUUCCGCAGAUAUUUCCACUCGAAAAAAGUUGUUGGCCAGUGCAAUUGUGCUGUAAGAUUCCGGAAUAGUCAUCCGUGUAGGGAGUGUAGGAUUAAGAAGUGCUUAUCGAUUGGGAUGAAUCCAGAGAAAGUCCAAGAAAAACGAGAACGUCAUCCCCCGAAAAAGAACAAACCUCCAAGCAUAUCAGAAGCCUUAACUUCAAGCUCUUCAACACCACCAUCCCUCCCGAUUUCCCAACUACCUGUAAAUUAUUCAUGGUUCUCCAAAACAUGAAUUAAAAAAAUGAAAAAUUUUUCCAGUCAAGAAUAAUUCCUCGCGACUGCUCAUCAAUUACUCUAACUGCUUUUAACUGGCAAAAAUGUCAGCCAAAGCGAAAUUAUAUGACUCGAACAUUGGAUGAAACCAACUAUUAUCAGUUAUCGUGUUUUAAGAUAGAAGAUUGUAUGAUGAUUUGGAGAAUUGUUGAAGAUCUUUUUCCGUCUUUAACAUGGAAUUUAAGGAAGUUGGAUAAAGAAGCUCUUCUCCGAAACUUUCUUCCGAAGUGGUCAGUUUUAACAGCGGCUAUUGAUAUGGAAGUUAAAGUGCAAAGAUACUCAAAAGUCAACAAUACUGAAGAGUUUAAAAGAAUGAUUGUAGAUUUCUUUACAUAUUCAAUGCCAGAGAAGUUCAAAAUGCCACCGGAAGAUAUAUUGAAAGUGUUCGGACCCAUGAUAGUGUACUACGUAACAAAAAUUAUUCUUCCAAUUCAUGAAAAAGGCUUGGACCAGCCGGAAUUUAUGGCGUUGGCGCUGAUUAUUUUGUUCGAUGGAGCCUACUCCAACAUCUCCGUGGAGUGCUCCGAAAUGUGCCGAACAAUUCGCAACCUGAUAUUUCGAGAGCUCAAAAAUUAUCAAACCGACAAGAACUUUGAUGAAAUUCAGUUUGCCGAUACUGUCGACACCUUGAAUAUUGUGGAAAAAGGAGAGAAGAAGUUCUAUGAAGAGCUUUUGAUAUGUGAUAUGCACAAUGUGCACUUACACGAGGAUUAUAGAUUAUUGUUAAACGAGUUGAAUGGUUAA
rnacentral:misc_RNA from 1 species